CAUCACAGGCGGUCUCUAGAAGCGGCUCGUGGGCGUUAAAAUUGAGCUGAGUUUGCGGCGAGCUUAGUGAUGGGUUGGCGAUGGGCAGGGCGCCGACACAAAAAGAUGAAGCGUUCUAUCCGUGCUGUCUGAACUCACAGUGUAGUAGGCGAGAUAGACGGGAGGAUCGGUAGGGUGGGAGAUGCUGGAGAGGCUUCCUGAGACUGGAUAAGAAAACAAAAAUCUGGUGAAAUUGGCGGCAAGGAGGGAGUUCAGGACAUUCCAGGCAGAGGCAAGUUACUUCCCAUGGAAGAAUAAUGUUACAGAAUGAAAAGCUAACAUAACUCAGGACUUGAUGGGUGAAGAGGAAGUCUCGAAUUUUGUGAAAACGGGAACUGCCUUCAGCUCCCUGCAACAGAAGAACCCAAACAGGAGAACCCAAACAGGAGAACCCAAAAGGGUGGACCUGAAGGAGGAGGGCUGCAGGCAUUUGCCUCAGCCGAGAGGCUGCUCUGUGGAGGGGACGCAUGGUGGCUGAGCACUGUUCCAGCCGACCACCCUGUGCUUCAGCAUUGAGGAUGAGGAUGCCGAGGUCAUGGGAUUUAUCCAAGAGACUUGGUGAAUUCAGUAGUCUGGGCUGCAGUGAUUGUCUAAUCAGUAAUAGGAGAGAAUUCAAUAAUAGAAGUAAUAAGAGGAGAAUUCCUCAUACAAUAGAAGUAAUAAGAGGAGAAUUCCUCAUGUUCCUAAAGAUACACUGAACCCUCCUCCCGACCCCCACCCAAUAAAGCUCAGCCACAAACACAUCAAGCUCCUAAUGUCUUACUGGUGAAUACACACCAUUCGAUUUUAUUGUUUCUGUACCAACUCAUCCC